CCUCAGCUCAUUCUUUCUCAUCUUUUGUCAUAUUUUUAGUUCAGAAAUGUCAGUUCAGUGUUUGUUUUGAAGGUUUUGAACGAGAAAAAAUAAAAGAAACCGCAAGUCUCGGUCUCGGCGCAAGUGGAAAGAUCGUGGACACAGGAUCAACGUCGAUCUUCCGAAGGGAUUCGAGCUGAUUGCAGUGAUACUUAAUCCAACAGCUGGAAUCUAGCUGCGGCUGCGGGUGCCAGCCGGUCAACAUUUGCCAGAGGAGAUCAACAAAGGAAAACAUUUAUUGCUCAUCAUCACAACUAGGAUCUAUGUCAUAGCCCGCUGCGUUCCUCGCCUUCUUGUGUAACCCGGAUCUGUGACGAACACCAAUUUUGCAGGAUUGUUUUUUGACAUCCUUGCAAUAUGCCCUGCCCUCCUUUCGGCUUUGGAUGCUGGGUUCGCCGUACAGUGCAGCGAGCUCCUCGGCGAGCUCGUGGUUCAUGCUUCGCCGCCACACACCGCCGAAGAUCUUAGCAUACGUCACUCGAAAACUCCGAGUGCUUGCAGGUCCUCCUCGAGCAUGGAAGGAGAAGGCAUAUUACCGAAGAAGGAGGUUAGCUGGAAACCCACCAACAAAGAUGGAUGAUGAAGCAUUGGUGCAUAGCAACUUGGUAUGCGAAAGACGACGGAAAAUUACAAAUUGUUUUUCUGCAUUGAGCUAUAGCACGGUUAAACCAGCGAAUCGGCCGUUGAGGGCAUUGACACACGAUGUUGCUGCACAGGCUCAAAUCUUUCGCUGCAACGUGCUCCCGUAUCAGCAAAUACAUGAUAUUUAGAAGUGUU